GUAGGAUUAGUGGCUUGGUGAAGUUAGCUUUUUCAUGACAGUUGAAUGUCCACAUGGACUUGCUGCGGCGAGCUGGUGAAGGGUGUGGCGAGCUGUUACAUGACGAGGUUGUGCUAGUGUGGGGAAGUGCUGCAUGCUUUCUGUGGUGUUUUCAUCGUCAGAUGUACGAGCUAAUUAUGGUGUUGCUCAUGCUGUCCUGCAAGCGGUUUUGUUGCAGCCAGCUGGUGAAAAAGUCGAGUUGAGCUGCAGCUUCUUGAAGCAGUCAACAAUGCUGGUCUUUUGUUUACGACGGGAUCAUCCAUCUUCUACAUGCAGUUUUUGCUAUCAAGAAGUGGAGAAAUAAGUCUUGAAGCAAAGCUUCAAGAAAAAGAAAUGGUAAUUUGCCCGAAAUAUUAUUUGUGACUUGUUUUUUAUUGAAAUAUUGUGUUCUUUCAAAAAAUUAAUUUAAAACUGACAAAGGUAAUUAGUGAUGGGGCAUUGCUUUAUAUGCGGACCUUGUCUAUUUUAUUGUCGUCCAUUUUUCAUAAAAUAAUCGCGUGUGCUGUAGACGUUUAACCCCUCAAUUUUCACUAGCCGUUUGAGCUUAACCAAAUUCCCAAUAGCAACGUCAUGGAGAAGGGAUUGGAGCCUGUUUCUUUUCACAAUUUCACAAUUCUGAUCAUGAUAUUCAGCUGCCUUUUGCUAUCUCUUCCUCAUCGUCGUCACGCUUUGCCUCCUCUACGCCUACCGAUCCGAGAGAUGCUGUUUCGUCUGCAAGUUUAGCCAUUCUUCUAAUCUUUUUUGUGAAUUUUUUCUUCAUCAAUCCUUUUUUUUUUUGCCUGUUCUCGUUCAAGGUGGGGGUGGCUUCAAGUCGACUGAUCUGGUUAGGUAAAUAGAUCGUCAUUUCUAUCACUCCUCUCUUUCCAAUAUUGUUUUAAUCAUAAGCUCACAAAAUAACAUAAGCACAUGCAGUCCACGAGAUCAGAUAGAUGUGGUAGGGUAGUUAAAACCAACUGGCGGCCUGAUUUAUUGGGCUUAGGCAAGCUGUUUAGCUCUUACCUUCUUUUUGGUUGUUUCGUUAGUUUAGGUUUAGCGUGGGCGGGUCCGUGGGUUUUGAGAGAAAGGAAUGCCAUAUUCCUAUUUUUUGGGAGUGUUUGAUCUGGACUUCUGUCAGACACUUUUUUCAACUCUAGAUUAAAAAAAUUUAAUGGGUUGAGUUACAAGUAAAACUAAAAGAAAAGUUUGCUAUAAUAGUUCAAUUUAUUAUGGGGUUUGCAACAAGUGGUUAGUUUAAUCAUCCAUAUAUGUCAUGUUAUUAAUUUUGUCAAGUGAAACAUGUUCACAAAAAAGUCUUAAGCGAAAUAAUACUUGUUGCUUAGUGAAUUCACAAAAGUUAAAAUGAAUUUAGAACAUUUUUCAUGCGUUUCAACAGUUGGUAGAGAUUUAGCACAUUUGGAUUAACACUGAUACAAUGUUAAUCAAGUAAUUUUAUACAUAAGGUACAAAUGCAAAUUUUUCGAAUAAUGAUUUUUUCUAAUGCAGAGUUUUUCGUGGUAUUGAUUAAUGUUGAUCGACAAACCUUUGAAGAGUUAUAGGAAGUUCUUCAUAUCCUACGUUCCAAUUUCGAACAGCAACCGCAGCUAAACAAGCAAGACUGGGCACUUUGUUCAAGGUUUGGUCUAGCAGAUGGUCUAGCAGAUUGUGUAAUCCAGGAUCUGGGUAUUGCAUGCCAUUGAAGGGCUCCGUCGAUAGUUGACCUUCGAAGUUCCGUCGGUCGUGAAACUGAUGAUGAUUGUUCUCGAAAAAAAUUCGAACAGUGUUGGUGAAUUCUUUAAACCUCCUUUCAUAAUUUGCCGAAAUCGAGUAAGGCCACAUGAUGGAAUUUUUUGACUCCUUUUUCGAUAACAAAUGGAGAGGAGAAUUUCCUUCCGCGUUGACAAUAUUCGGAUUCAUUCCUGCCUGCAGCAAUAACCGUAUCAAGUCGAGAUCCUUGCUGUUGACGUCAAUUGGAUGGAAAUUUUCACAAACUUGUAAGAGAAGAUUUAAUUUUGGAUUGUUCCACACGUUAGAAACUAUAAAGCUGGCUUGUAGGGUAAGUUGCAGUAGU